rnacentral:lncRNA from 1 species
UUCUCGGAUAUUCGAUGGAUAAGGCGAAAAUGUGGUGAAUCCCGUAGAAACAUCAAUUGUAACUGCAGAUCAGCCACUUUUGGAAAUGCCUUGUGAGCAAAUUCACUGGGAAUUGCCUGAUUUUUACGGAAAAGAUAAGUUUAUCGUCAUGUUUGGUGGAUUGCACAUUGAAAUGACUUGUUAUAAAACUCUGUGUGAUAGGGGAUAGACAUGUUGUCUUACUGAAGCCAAUAUUGCAACACCAAGAACGACAGAUUCUUUUUAUGUAUGUUCAAAUGUACCUAGGACUAGACAGGCGCAUAAGACAACUUCAGAUAUUUUGCUUGAACUGUUAAUUUCGGAUUAUGAAAGCUAAACUCAAAAUGUAUAAUUAUGUCAUGUGACGUUCAAUGAUUUAAAAGACUGGUGUAUAGAGUCAUCUCAACCACAGUAUCAUUCCUGGCGU